UUCUCCUUGCGGCUCCACUCCAGCAGGAACAUCUUCGGAGUGAUGUGAGGCGGAUACUCCCUCCUACAAGCCAAAAAGAAACACAGGGAGCCUGAGAACUGACCGCUCAAACUUCACCGCCAUGGUGGUGAUGUCUCCGUCCAUCACGGGGUGGUCCGGCUGGCUGUCGGUCUGCAGGGCGUCCUUCCUGCUCUGCUGCUCGCUCUGAAUCUGCUGGAGAAAAGUUUGCAGAGUGUUUGAGUCUUACUUGGCGAUGACAGGGAUGGAAACAGCCCGAGCGACGGCCUGAAUGUAAUCACAGUGAAGGGGAUGUCGAGGACGCUCCUCCUUUAACCUGAGCAACACAACAACCAGAAGAGCAACACGGACAUGUUUCAGGUGUGUUAAGUGUCCGGGGUGGAUCUCAACGCAGAGCGGCUGACCCGACUGUGAAGCAGCAGUGAAGACGGAUAUCUACCACCUCAGUGUUUCUGUUUCUCAUCGAUUGACCGACCAAGACGCACAAGAGAACCUCAGACAGAGACUGAGUGCUUGCGUGAGAGCUGACAGUUGGAGCCCACCGCCGACUGCUGAUUGGACGCAUGUUUGUUUUUGAAUGUGUUCCUGUGCGAGAGAAUGAACAUCCCUCCCCGAGCCGGCGUUCAUGGUGUGACGAGUAUGUGCUGCUGUUUACCUGCCGUGAACAGCCACAGCAGCGACGCCGGUCUUCUCGAUCCUCUGGACCAGACUGACCGUGUCCUCCACCUGAAACCAGAAGAACAGAGCAUCCAGGUCGUCAGGAAGUGAAUGUUAAUCACAUUUUUGAGAUUGAAUGUAAAAAACAAUGACAAGGGGACUAACAUUUUAAAAAGUAAUUUGACACACACAGGGAUAAUGUUCACAUCUUACCGAAGGCAGGAUUCUGAUUUUACACGUGACGGGAAUGGAAACGCCUGUGACAAGCUUCUUCAGAAUCUACUAGGAGACAAAAGUCGUUUUUUUAAUGUCUCCGUAUCCACCUGAUGACAUCACACAUUGACCUUUGUUACCGUUCCUUUGAGCUGUUUGACCGUCACUUUGGGAUCCCUAACCGCUUCCUGUUCCUGUGCUUAACUUCAUGUCCUAAUCUUCACUUUACAGGAAGAGCCUUACUGUAUUUCAAAAUAAAAGCAACUAAAGUACUCUCAGGUAAAACCAGUUCAAAACUUCAAAAUAAAAGCCUAACUAUUUUUAUUUUUGCACAAUAGCUUUCCCAAUACUCACCGCCUCGAUUUUAUCAGGAUCUGACAGAAGAGCAGCUCCCAUCCCGCCCUGCAAGAGGUCAAAGGUCACCUAGGGUUGCUGCACACUUUUUCAAAAGUCUAAUAUAAGACGUUUAAAGACUUGACGCACACAAAGAAACAUUAGGACCAUUUUAUACCAGAUAUCAUGCGGGACUCAAAAGGCUUUUAUUCCAAUUGGUCCACGUUUAGAAACUUUUUCUGCAAAUCGUUUGUCCCCUGCUGACUAGACAGAGUAAAUAUGACAAAGUAUUCAAACAUGUCUCAAAGGCUCAUCUUAACUUUAAGACCUCUCUCAGGUUAAAAUAAGACUUUUUAGGGACACCUAGAGAUCAAAAACUAGAGAAGGCGUUGCAGCUGCAGGUCGGUCACUGAGAGGAGACUCACCUUGGUGGAGUAUUCUUUUGGACAGCCCAUGUUCACAUCGAUGGCGGCCACAUCCUUCUCCCUGAUCAACAACAGAAGAACAAGAACAGGAGCCAUGAAUUAAAUGUUUAAGUCUGUUUAUGAUAUCAUUAUUGGGUGAUCAUAUUGAGUAUGAGGAUAGCAGGUCACACAGAUACACUGAGAUUCCUCACAUUGUCUACAGAACGCAGCAUCCAUGUUGUUUCUUGUUGUUACAACAUUGCGACAUUCUGAAUUGAAAGCGUGUGAACUAACUGAAGAUGGGAGAGCGACUUGGACACUGGGACUAUCCGAGGAGCACCUGAAUGCAGUGCAAGUCACGAACAGGUUUCACUGAAGAAAACUUCACUUUUAGUCGGACUCUGUGUCGUGCUCUAAACUCACACAAGCUGGGCGACGGUCAGCGCUCGGUCUGGGUCAGCAGUCCCCUAAAAGUACAAAGAGAAAAAGUGACCCCUCAAGAGAAAACAUACGAGGAAAAUAAAUACGUUCCGGAUGUUUCCUGUCUCACCAUCUGGAAGACGACUCUGUCCUUCUCCCUCUCACAGGUCCUGAACAUCACUCGAUCAUCAGGGGCGACGAAAUCCACCGUCUGCAGCACCUCUGACAAAUACACAGAACAUCAAAGUGUGAGGGCGAUCCUCUCACAAGCUGUGGCAUGAAGGAGAAGAUAAAGUGAGAGAUUCUUACGGUUCUCCACCCUGUGACACUGAGCCAUUUUUAUGUCAAUCAACUCCUGAAAGAGACAGAAAAAGAGUCAUUAAACAACUUUUAUACACACUAAAAGAUUAAUUUCUCUGCCAAAGCCUCCACCCUCACCUCGCAGUAAACCACGUCAGCUCCGUAGUCCAGAGCCAGCAGCCUCAUGGGCAGAGUCCCCACCCGGACCAUCGGAGCCAGGGCGGUGAUGUUGCAGAAGUUCAGCCUGCCAGCUGUCAUCAUGGCGGCUCAGACCUCCUGAUAACAUCACAGAGGAGAAGAUAGUCAUGCAUGUACUUCUGAACCAACCAUCCUUCCUGGGCGGACAGAUCCUUCUCCAUUGCUGCUCCCACUCUACUCACUCCCAAAAACCAUCAGAGACCAGAGAGUUUUUAAAUGUUUGCUAAAUA